CCUGGUGGCUCAGACAGGUAAAGCGUCUGCCCACAAUGCAGAAGACCCAGGUUCGAUCCCUGAGUCAGG
rnacentral:tRNA from 1 species